rnacentral:piRNA from 1 species
UAAUCAGACAGUGAAUUUGUGCAUUUCAGA